AUUGAACGCUGGCGGCAUGCUUUACACAUGCAAGUCGAACGGUAACACGCCUUCUGGUGCUGACGCGUGGCGAACGGGCGGGUAAUGCAUCGGAACGUACCCAGCGGUGGGGGAUGACGCAGCUAAAGCAGUCCUAGUCCCGUAUCUGAUCUGAGCAUCAGAGCCGGGGAGCGGGUAGCAAUGUUUGGCCUCUCGCCUUUGGACCGGCCGAUGUCGGUUUAGCUGGUUGGUGGGGUAAAGGCCUACCAAGGCGACGAUCCGUAGCUGGUCUGAGAGGACGACAAGCCGCACUGGGAGGUGGACACGGCCCAGACUCCUGCGGUAGGCACCAGAGGCGAAUGUUGGGCAAUGGGCGGAAGCCUGACCCAGCGGGGCCGAGUGCGGUGAGACGGCCUUCGGGGUGGGAAGCGCGUUUGGCAGGAACAAAACGGUUUCCGCUAAGACCGAGCGUGAAUGACGGUAACUGGAGAAUAAGCACCGGCUAACUACGUG
rnacentral:rRNA from 1 species